GCUUCCUUGGCUCAGUUGGUAGAGCGUUGGUCUCAUAAUUCCUUUAUGACACAUCCUCAGGUUGUGAUAUCCAAAGGUCGUGAGUUCGAGCCUCACAGGGAGCA